AUUUGUUCUUGUUAAUGAAGUUUUAAAGGCUGUAUCAAUCCUCUGACAUGAAAUAUGGAAAAGGAUAAGAAGCAGUAGAAAAGAAGCAUCUAGUAGAAAACAUGGGAAGCAUAUUAAAGCUCGGACUAGAAUAUCUUCUUGAUAUCAAAAAGAUAAGUUUAUCACAGUAUAUUAUCCUGCUGACCUAUACUGACAUACCAGUGAUAUUAAGUGGCAUUUUCUUUUCAGAUUUUGAUUUCUUAAAGAAAAUACACUCCAUUUCUAUAAGCAUAAUAUUGAAUAGAGUGAUUACUUUUUAUAAUGCUCUUAACAUUUUUUGGGGGGGAGGUGACAUUUCCAACUUUUAGAAAUUAAUGUUAAAUCAGGAAGCAAGAUCCCAUAAGCUGAGAACUCUGGACAACUGAUCAGCCUUACUUAUGGUGCUUUGUCUUUAAACAGAUUGGAUGGCAGGAUGUUAUUUCAGA